rnacentral:tRNA from 1 species
GUUAACGUGGCAGAAUCUGGUUAUGCAAAAGACCUAAACCCUUUUACCUAGGGGUUCAAAUCCCCUCGCUAACU